rnacentral:rRNA from 1 species
UACAGAGGGGGCAAGCGUUGUUCGGAAUUACUGGGCGUAAAGGGCGCGUAGGCGGCCUGCUAAGUCGAACGUGAAAUCCCUGGGCUCAACCCAGGAACUGCGUCCGAUACUGGUUGGCUUGAAUCCGGGAGAGGGAUGUGGAAUUCCAGGUGUAGCGGUGAAAUGCGUAGAUAUCUGGAGGAACACCGGUGGCGAAGGCGACAUCCUGGACCGGCAUUGACGCUGAGGCGCGAAAGCCAGGGGAGCAAAGCGGG